CAAUAGCGUAUAAUUGAAGUUGUUGACGGUUAAAAAGCUCGUCGUUGGAUUUCUGUUGAGGUCGAACAGUGCCGCCCUAUGGGUGUCGCUACUGGCUCGGCUUCGGCAUCUUCUUGGAGAGCGCAUCUGCACUUAACUGUGUGGAUCGUACUUCAAGUCAGUUACUUUGAGGAAUUGUGAGUGUUUCAAGCAGGCUUACGCCGUUGAAUCCGUUAGCAUGGAAUAAUAGAAUAGGACCUCGGUUCUAUUUUGUUGGUUUUGAGAGCUGGGGCAGCGAUUGAUAGGGACGGAUGGGGGGCUCCGAACUUUACUGUCAGAGGUGAAAAUUCUUAGAUCGGUCAAAGGCGAACUACUGCGAAACGCAAUUCGCCAAGAAAUGUUUUCUUUAAAUCAAAGAACGAAAGUUAGGGGAUCGAAGAUGAUUAGAU
rnacentral:rRNA from 1 species